rnacentral:rRNA from 1 species
AGUGAACGCUGGCGGUAGGCCUAACACAUGCAAGUCGAACGGCAGCACAGGAGAGCUUGCUCUCUGGGUGGCGAGUGGCGGACGGGUGAGGAAUACAUCGGAAUCUACUCUGUCGUGGGGGAUAACGUAGGGAAACUUACGCUAAUACCGCAUACGACCUACGGGUGAAAGCAGGGGAUCUUCGGACCUUGCGCGAUUGAAUGAGCCGAUGUCGGAUUAGCUAGUUGGCGGGGUAAAGGCCCACCAAGGCGACGAUCCGUAGCUGGUCUGAGAGGAUGGUCAGCCCCACUGGAACUGAGACACGGGCCAGACUCCUACGGGAGGCAGCAGUGGGGAAUAUUGGACAAUGGGCGCAAGCCUGAUCCAGCCAUACCGCGUGGGUGAAGAAGGCCUUCGGGUUGUAAAGCCCUUUUGUUGGGAAAGAAAUCCAGCUGGCUAAUACCCGGUUGGGAUGACGGUACCCAAAGAAUAAGCACCGGCUAACUUCGUGCCAGCAGCCGCCGUAA